ACAAUUCAAAAAGAUUGAAGAGCCGCUUUUUAAACAGAUAUCCAAGUGUGUCUCCAGUUCUCACUUCCAGGUUGCAGAGAGAGCACUGUACUUCUGGAAUAACGAAUACAUUCUCAGUUUGAUUGAGGAGAACAUCGAUAAGAUCCUGCCCAUCAUGUUUGCCAGUUUGUAUAAAAUUUCCAAAGAACACUGGAAUCAGUAAGUGGUUGUUGUUGGUUUCAGUUUUAACACAGUUUAAAUAGCACAGGCUGGCCUGGAGCUCAGGGUCCUGCUCAGCCUCAGCACUGAGAUUACAGGCAUGUGCUUUACCUGUCGCUCUUUCCUGUACUCAUCGGAGCCUGUGCAGACUUGUAACCUAUCCUGACGGCUAACAUCACAGUUCUAGAUACUACUUAUCUUUGCAAAGCUCUUUGUGGAUGUUCCUCAGCAAACAGUCUUACCAGCCAGUGCUCCGGUGCCACUGUGGAAACGGAUGUGGCUGAGCUGGCUGCACCUGGCCUCCCCACACUAGACGCUGAGGGCCAUAGGGAGAUGUGGCAUUCGGACAUUCUAACUUCUGUGACAUUUUUAUCCUGCUACCCCAGGGUCUAAGGUGAGAUGACGAGAACCCGAAUGUUAUACCGGGUCCAUCAUCAAUGGCAUGUGUGGCCAGAGUUUUUGCACUUUAGUUACAGUGUCUGACAUUAAUUACGCGUUCAGUGUUGCUGGCCUCUAACCCAGAACUGGCUUCUCUUCCAGGACUAUUGUAGCUCUGGUAUACAACGUGCUGAAAACCCUAAUGGAGAUGAACGGGAAGCUUUUUGAUGACCUUACUAGUUCCUACAAGGCUGAAAGACAGAGAGAGAAGAAGAAAGAACUGGAACGCGAAGAAUUAUGGAAAAAGUUAGAAGAGUUGAAGCUGAAGAAGGCUCUAGAGAAACAGAACAAUGCUUACAACAUGCACAGUAUUCUCAGCAAUACCAGUGCCCAGUAAAAGGUCAGCUCCCCCUGCUGGGCGGCAGUGUUGUACACUCUUGGAAUAUAUAAAAACUUCAAAGCCAAACCUCAUCAGUAUAAUGUAAUUAGGAGGCCAGUUUUUCCUGGCAAGCGUAAGCGAAAGAGAUAAGGACUAAACAUAGCCCUGUGCUGUGUCACGGCCACAGUAUAUUGUAAACUUUGUCUAAUCAUGGAGUGUCACUGUCAUCUGUUGAGUGAGGUGACUGUGGGAGUGGCGUGAGUCACACGACUUAGCCCAGGUGUGCUGCACACACAGAUCAAGCCGGCCUCUGCACACUUCCUUUAUCAUGUGCUUUCACAGUGCUGCACACCUUGGGUACUUCUGAGGAAAGAACCUUCCUUCAUGAGAUAAGCUGAGGUGUUGCCCUUCCCUUCCCCUCUCCUAGAGAGGCGGGUGGGGAGAUAAAGGCCCAGCCUCAUUAAAGAUACUGCCAUACUCUGGGUUUUGCAACAUCUUGCGUUUCCAGGCUUCCGAAGCACAAAGUAUUAAAAGCUGGGGGGAAGUAAACCAAAUGUUGACUGUU
rnacentral:lncRNA from 1 species